rnacentral:rRNA from 1 species
AAAGACUUGACGGUACCCCACACCAACCUAGAGGAGCCUGUCCAAUAAGCCGAUACCCCACGAUCAACCCAACACACUCUAGCCCCACAGUCUAUAUACCGCCGUCGCCAGCUUACCUUGCAAAAGAAACAAAGUAAGCACAACAGACCCCUUCUAACACGACAGGUCGAGGUGUAACUUAUGAGUGUGUAAAGAUGGGCUACAUUUUCUAAAACAGAAAAUAACGGAUAAACUAUGAAACUAAAAACUGAAGGAGGAUUUAGCAGUAUGCUAAGAAUAGAAAACUAAACAGAAACUAGUGCAAUGAGGUGCGUACACACCGCCCGUCAUCCCUG